CUACGGGAGGCAGCAGUGGGGAAUCUUGGACAAUGGGCGCAAGCCUGAUCCAGCCAUGCCGCGUGAGUGAUGAAGGCCUUAGGGUCGUAAAGCUCUUUCGCCAGGGAAGAUAAUGACGGUACCUGGUAAAGAAACCCCGGCUAACUCCGUGCCAGCAGCCGCGGUAAUACGGAGGGGGUUAGCGUUGUUCGGAAUUACUGGGCGUAAAGCGCGCGUAGGCGGAUUGGAAAGUUGGGGGUGAAAUCCCGGGGCUCAACCCCGGAACUGCCUCCAAAACUCCCAGUCUUGAGUUCGAGAGAGGUGAGUGGAAUUCCGAGUGUAGAGGUGAAAUUCGUAGAUAUUCGGAGGAACACCAGUGGCGAAGGCGGCUCACUGGCUCGAUACUGACGCUGAGGUGCGAAAGUGUGGGGAGCAAACAGGAUUAGAAACCCCAGUAGUCC
rnacentral:rRNA from 1 species